CUGUUGCCCAGGAUAGAAGACAGAGGUGCAAUCAUGGCUGAUUGUAGCUUCAACCUCCUAGGUUCAAGUGAUCCUCCUAUCUCAGCCUCCCGAGUAGCUGGAACAAGCGCAUGUUACCACACCCAGUUUUACUUAUUUAUAGAGAUGACAACUUGCUGUUUCCAGGCUGGUCUCUUCCUGGGCUCAAGCAGAGUGCUGGGAUUACAGGCAUGAGUCACUGCACCUGGUCCCAAGCAGCAGCUAUGCUCUGGAGGGUAAACUUAGGAAACUGAUCUUAACCAAUAUCGCCUGAGAUUUUAGGAGGCUAUGACAGACUAACAGCCUCCUGUGUGAUUAGAAAUUGCCAUCAAGGAGUCAGUAAUUGAAACUGAACUUUCAAGUUCAAUUCCAUUCAAAUUAAACCUUUUUGGAUCUGACUCUCAUUACAGGAAUAGUCUUACAUUUGUAACUUCCUUGCUCAAGAAUCUUAAGGGUAUUUAUAACAUCAGUUUUCUGUCCUACACCUAUCCACCCUGUUGGUACCCAAAUCCUCAAUAUUUGUCUCAGACUCUGAACCAUACUGUCUUUGCUCAGUUAUUUCUUAGGCCUAUUGUCCCAACAUCUGUGCUGGUUUAGACUCAAAUCCACUUGUUCUAUUUUCAAGAAUCCUUCAUAGCUUGACUUUUCCUUGGCAUCUUGUGCCACUGUUGACAAAACGGUUUUAUUUCAGGAGUCUUGGCAGAGCCUAGCACAAGCCAGUGCAUAUAAAUGUGGAGUACUAAUUUCGAUAGAUAAUGUGACAUAUUAAAAAAUCUAUUGGGAGGCAAGGGAGGUAGAAGGAGCUACAGGAAAAGCGGUCAGAGGGCUCCAAAGCAACCAGUCUAUUUCACAACUUUGUCUUGUUUGCCAGCUUUAACAAAACGGUAAUGGCACUCUUCCUUGAAAACUGGAAUCUCAAUAGUCUUUUACCACAUACUGUAUAACAGUGCCUGGCCCUAUUCUAGGCACUCUUGAACUAAUGAAACACAGAUCUUAAAAUUUUAUGCAGAAGUUGUGGGAGGGGGAGAAAGACAAUGAUUAACAGAGUUUUAAGUACGGUAGGUAAGGGCAUCAGAGAUCAAGGGUAUAAACAUAAACACAAGCAAUGCUUUCAACUGCCAUCUUACACACACUACCUUCAUAGUGAAGGUACAUUUUCUAUCUCCAAACGUUACAUGCCUAAGGCUUCUCUCUCAUUUUAUUUGGUAGUAUCAGAUAGCAUUAUGUAAC
rnacentral:lncRNA from 10 species